rnacentral:rRNA from 1 species
UGGGGAAUUUUGGACAAUGGGCGAAAGCCUGAUCCAGCAAUGCCGCGUGUGUGAAGAAGGCCUUCGGGUUGUAAAGCACUUUUGUCCGGAAAGAAAUCCUUGGCUCUAAUACAGUCGGGGGAUGACGGUACCGGAAGAAUAAGCACCGGCUAACUACGUGCCAGCAGCCGCGGUAAUACGUAGGGUGCGAGCGUUAAUCGGAAUUACUGGGCGUAAAGCGUGCGCAGGCGGUUUGCUAAGACCGAUGUGAAAUCCCCGGGCUCAACCUGGGAACUGCAUUGGUGACUGGCAGGCUAGAGUAUGGCAGAGGGGGGUAGAAUUCCACGUGUAGCAGUGAAAUGCGUAGAGAUGUGGAGGAAUACCGAUGGCGAAGGCAGCCCCCUGGGCCAAAUACUGACGCUCAUGCACGAAAAGCGUGGGGGAGCAAAACAGGAUUAGAUACCCUGGUAGUCCACGUACCUAAACGAUGUCAACUAGUUGGUUGGGAUUCAUUUCCUUAGUAACGUAGCUAACGCGUGAAGUUGACCGCCUGGGGAGUACGGUCGCAAAGAUUAAAACUCAAAUGAAUUGACGGGGUCAUAGCUGUUUCCU